CUUUAAAGGCCCUAGAGAUAGGGAGAUGGCUAUAGAGGAUACAGGUGGUGCAUGGUUGUCGUCAGCUCGUGUCGUGAGAUGUUGGGUUAAGUCCCGCAACGAGCGCAACCCCUGUUGCCAGUUGCCAGCAAGAGAGAUGGGGACUCUGGCGAGACUGCCUCUGCAAGGAGGAGGAAGGCGGGGAUGACGUCAAAUCAUCAUGCCCCUUAUGACCUGGGCUACACACGUGCUACAAUGGACGGAUCAGAGGGAGGCGAAGCCGCGAGGUGGAGCGAAACCCAGAAACCCGUUCACAGUUCGGACUGCAGUCUGCAACUCGACUGCACAAAGCUGGAAUCGCUAGUAAUCGCGAAUCAGAAUGUCGCGGUGAAUACGUUCUCGGGCCUUGUACACACCGCCCGUCACACCAUGAGAGUUGGUAACACCCGAAGCCGGUGGCCCAACCGCAAGGAGGGAGCUGUCUAAGGUGGGACUGAUGAUUGGGGUGAAGUCGUAACAAGGUAUCCCUACGGGAACGU
rnacentral:rRNA from 1 species